GACGAACGCUGGCGGCGUGCUUAACACAUGCAAGUCGAACGGAAAGGCCCUGCUUGCAGGGUACUCGAGUGGCGAACGGGUGAGUAACACGUGGGUGAUCUGCCCUGCACUUCGGGAUAAGCCUGGGAAACUGGGUCUAAUACCGGAUAGGAGCCAUUUUUAGUGUGAUGGUUGGAAAGUUUUUUCGGUGUAGGAUGAGCUCGCGGCCUAUCAGCUUGUUGGUGGGGUAAUGGCCUACCAAGGCGGCGACGGGUAGCCGGCCUGAGAGGGUGGACGGCCACAUUGGGACUGAGAUACGGCCCAGACUCCUACGGGAGGCAGCAGUGGGGAAUAUUGCACAAUGGGCGCAAGCCUGAUGCAGCGAAGCCGCGUGGGGGAUGACGGCCUUCGGGUUGUAAACUCUUUUCGCUAGGGACGAAGCUUUUUGUGACGGUACCUAGAGAAGAAGCACCGGCUAACUACGUG
rnacentral:rRNA from 1 species